ACUAGGAUUAGAUACCCUAUUAUUAAGAAAAAUUAUAUUGUUAGUAUAUAAAUUGUAUGAAAACAAAAAAUUAUGGCGGUAUUUUAAGCUUUUCAGAGGAAUUUGCUCUUUAAUGGAUAAAACACCUAAAUCUUACUAAAUUUAGUUAAGCAGUUUGUAUACCACUAUUUAAGUAAUAAUUUGCUAUUAUUACUAAAAUUUAUAUUAAUUAAAAAAAGUUAAGUCAAGGUGCAGCAUAAAUUUUAGUAUGAAGUGAAUUACAUUUCUUUUAAGAAAAAUUUGUUGAAAAUAAAAUUUAGGAUUUGAAAGUAAAAUUUUAAUAGAAGGAAAAUUUGAAUUAAGCUCUAAAAUAUGUACACAUCGCCC
rnacentral:rRNA from 1 species